rnacentral:rRNA from 1 species
GACGAACGCUGGCGGCGUGCUUAACACAUGCAAGUCGAACGGUGAUCUCGAGAGCUUGCUCUUGGGUGAUCAGUGGCGAACGGGUGAGUAACACGUGAGUAACCUGCCCCAGACUCUGGAAUAACCCCGGGAAACCGGAGCUAAUACCGGAUACGAAGUAGAGCUGCAUGGCUACUACUUGGAAAGUUUUUCGGUCUGGGAUGGACUCGCGGCCUAUCAGCUUGUUGGUGAGGUAAUGGCUCACCAAGGCGACGACGGGUAGCCGGCCUGAGAGGGCGACCGGCCACACUGGGACUGAGACACGGCCCAGACUCCUACGGGAGGCAGCAGUGGGGAAUAUUGCACAAUGGGCGAAAGCCUGAUGCAGCGACGCCGCGUGAGGGAUGACGGCCUUCGGGUUGUAAACCUCUUUCAGCAGGGAAGAAGCGAAAGUGACGGUACCUGCAGAAGAAGCACCGGCUAACUACGUGCCAGCCGCCGCAGUAAGAC